rnacentral:rRNA from 1 species
AAAUCAAUGUAUAAGAGGUCUUACCUGCCCAGUGACUAAGUUAAACGGCCGCGGUAUUUUGACCGUGCUAAGGUAGCGCAAUCACUUGUCUUUUAAAUGAAGACCUGUAUGAAUGGUGGAACGAGGGCUUAACUGUCUCCCUUUUUAGGUCAAUGAAAUUGAUCUGCCCGUGCAGAAGCGGGCAUAAAAAUACAAGACGAGAAGACCCUUUGGAGCUUAAGACGUCAAGGUCAACUAUGUCAAAAAUUUUUAUAAACAAAAACAAAACAAAACACCAACUGACCAAAGUCUUCGGUUGGGGCGACCACGGGGGAAAAUAAAGCCCCCAUGUGGAAUGGGUAUAAACCUAAAACCACGAGGAACACCUCUAAGUCACAGAACAUCUGACCAAAAUGAUCCGGCACUUAGCCGAUUAACGAACCAAGUUACCCUAGGGAUAACAGCGCAAUCCCCUCCAAGAGUCCAUAUCGACAAGGGGGUUUACGACCUCGAUGUUGGAUCAGGACAUCCUAAUGGUGUAGCCGCUAUUAAGGGUUCGUUUGUUCAACGAUUAAAGU